AUUAGAUACCCGGGUAGUCCUAGCCGUAAACGAUACUCGCUAGGUGUCGGUCACGGUGCGACCGUUGUCGGUGCCGUAGGGAAGCCGUGAAGCGAGCCACCUGGGAAGUACGGCCGCAAGGCUGAAACUUAAAGGAAUUGGCGGGGGAGCACCACAACGGGUGGAGCUUGCGGUUUAAUUGGAUUCAACGCCGGAAAUCUUACCGGGACCGACAGCAAUAUGAAGGCCAGGCUGAAGACUUUGCCGGAUUAGCUGAGAGGUGGUGCAUGGC
rnacentral:rRNA from 1 species